UACGUAGGGAGCAAGCGUUGUCCGGAAUCAUUGGGCGUAAAGAGCGUGUAGGCGGCCCGGUAAGUCGGUUGUGAAAGUCAAGGGCUCAACCCUUGAAAGCCGACCGAUACUGUCGGGCUAGAAUCCGGAAGAGGCGAGUGGAAUUCCUGGUGUAGCGGUGAAAUGCGCAGAUAUCAGGAAGAACACCCGUGGCGAAGGCGACUACCUGGCCUGUUCUUGACGCUGAGGCGCGAAAGCUAGGGGAGCAAACGGG
rnacentral:rRNA from 1 species